UUAAAUGCUACUUUUCUCUGGGGAGACAAUUGCAUUCUUUGUCAAUUAGGUUACUUUUCACUAGCAAUUUUACUGGGAAUGAGAUCUGUAACUUUAGACAUUGAGAGCAAUUCUCAUCGCCUGCUAUUUAAGUAGUUAUUAUUUUAGAAACACCUUAGCAUGCUUGAGACUACCCAAAGGCUAGAGACUUUGACCAAAUCUAACUUUUAACUUAGAAAAAUUCAUAAGCUACACUUCUUAAUGCAUAUACCUCCAUGGUCCAAAGCAUCAAUGAAAUCUUUACAAUCCCCUAGACAGCCCUAUGUAAUCUGGUUCCCCCAUUUCUACCUAUUUCCUCUCUUAUCCAUAAAACUCCUACUUACCCUCUUCCUUAUUCACUCUACUCCAUCCACACCAGUUUUCUUGCUACCUCUAGUCCUUGCCCAAUGUGUUCCUGCCUCAGGGCCUUUGCACUGGCUCUUCCCUCCACUUGGAAUACUCAUUCUCUCAGGUGAAUUCAUGCCAAUGACCUUCAGGUUUUUACUCAGACAUAACUUUCUCCAAAAGGCCUAUUCCAACCAUGCUAUUUGAAACUGCAACCCUGCCCUCUCUCUCCACCCCUGUCACUAUUCCCUAUUCUUCUCCCACUCAAUUUAUUUUUUCCAUAUCACUCAACAGCAUCUGACAUGCUAUACAUUUUAAUUAUUUACGUACUUAUUGCCUAUUUCUCCCAAAGCUCCAUGAGGGACAAGAUUCUUUUCUUUUUUGUUCAGUGCUGAAUCCUGAUAGUUAAAAAGUUCUCAAAAAAAUAUCUGUUGAAUGAAUGAGUAAAUGGAGCAAAAAAGCUAACUUCUGGGUGCCACAGAAAGAGAGUCCAUGUUAUUGUUGACAUCCUUGUAAAGAAUGCAAAGUUGUCUGAGCACUUCAGCAAUGGUUUCUGCAAGCAAUGUGCAAAUUUGGAGACAGCCUUCCCUGUUCUUCUGAGCAGGCCUGGGAUGACCUCUGCCUGUUUUCAACCAUUAUUGAUGCGCAAUUUAUGAGAGGAUGAUGUGGCAAAAUGAUUUGAAAAUUGGAAGUGAUUUACUGCACAACUUAAAUAUUUUGUCUUAUCAUUACAGCAACUCUAUAAGGCCACAGGACAGCCUCCCAACCCAGCUAAAGAAUCAAGGGCGGAAGGCCAAAAUCAUCUGAAAACAAAUAUGAUACUUCAAAAAUGUCUGAAAAGGACAGGUGUGCUUUUCAAGAAGGCUUUCCCUCAGUGGCUUUACCUUUUGUGUGCGGCCCGGAUGUAGCUGAUAAACCAAGGCUUUCUGACUUUGCAGCUUGAUAGAUAUAAUUUUCAUAGUAUAUGGAAAGAUAAUGCACCCAAUGUAUUGGACAGUUGUCCCUGUGUUAUCAAGCAGUGUGUUCUCUUAUUUCACUAACAAAUGUCCAGACAAACACACAUUGUGGCAAAUGCAAGGAAAUCACUAGCCUGUGUUUGAAACUUAAGCCUCCCCGUUCUUUAGAGUAUAGCAGUAUUCAGGCAAUAGGGAUGCAUGGUACGAGCAUUACCCUUUCUCUCUCUCCAGACUCCAGAACAUGACAAUAGCUGAUAUGUUUCAGUGCAUGAAUAAUUCUGAUUCCAGCUAGACAAUUGUUGUGAAGGAAUUGUCCUUAUAAUAUUUGUCUCAUAAAAAUAUGUAUAUUUUAUUAUAAAACAAGAAUGUUCAAAUGGACAUCCACAUUUUGGCCCCAAAUCCUCCCCUUUUGUGCAUCUUAUGCAAAGUACAUGUCAAUAAGUAUUUAUCAAAUGAAUGUUAAAAGCAUGAAAGAAUGUUUUAUGGGGAUUUUGAUGUCUUUCUAGUGAGAUACUGUUUUUCAUUUAAUCAUAACUCAUUUUUUUUGAGAUGAGAAAAUUUAGACUCAAAGUCAUGAUAAGCCACCAACAUCAUAAAGAGCAGACUCAGGAACUGAACUGUAUUCUCUGCCUGUCCCUUCAUGCAAUUUCUUUCUCCUUUCUACAGAAAAAUCCCCCCUUCCUGCUAUUUCCACCCCUGAAAUAUUUAUAGGCUGAUGUCCUCUUUAGUCAUCACUGAGCUAAGCUGCAAUCUUUUAAUCAUUUCUCAGAAGUCAUUUUCUCUAUCGGCUUAAUCAUUUCAUUUACUUCUGACUCCACCCAAAGUGCUUACGUCCCUUAAACAUGAGGUUCCAGAACUGAAACAUAGUCCUUCAAGGAACCAGAGAGAAGCCAGGCAACAUCAAUCAAGCCCCUUGAUGAUGGAACGUGUCCUCACAUGUGACUCAAUAGACGUUUUGCUGUGGGACUCUAAUUCUGUCUUGCCUUAUAGGCAAGAUGCAAUCUUUAUCAGAGCUCCAGGGGUAAUGCUGUGUCACACAAAAAUGUGCACUGCUUUUGAUAUCAGGCACACCUGGGUUCAAAUCUUGGCUUCCCGAUUUACUACUUACGUAACCUAAGGCAAGUUAUUAAGCGUCUCUAAAUCUUGGUUUCUUUGUCAGAGACAAGUUGGGAGGAAUACUAGCUACAUCAUAGGAGUCUUGUGAGAACUAAAUCACUUAAUAUAUGUAAAUGGCCUGUAUAUACUAUACCUAGCACACAUUACAUACAGCACAUUUACUAACCUCUAAAUCUAGUGUUAAAUCAAUUUCUUUCUCUCUCACCGCACUCCAUUCAAUUUACCAGGAAUUCUGUCCACCUUUCUUUCAGUUUUUCUGAACGUAUCCAUUUCUUCCCAUUGAUAUGAGUCACAAAUAGAUCAGCUGCCACCUGAUCAGACCCACCAUCAUUUCUAACCAGACCAUUGCCAUAGCCUCCUGACUCAUUCCCCUGCUUUCAUCCUUGCCUUUUAUAAUCCUUUCUCUACACUGUAGCGAUGUCAUCUUUCUAAAAGAUUACUUGGACCAGUCCACUUGCCUGCAUAAAACAUGGCAUAGGGUUCCCACUACACUUAAAAACAAAUCCAAAAUUCUUGCCAUGGACUACAGGACCUCAAGUGAUCUUUCCCUGCUUGUAUCUCUGAAGUUAUCCUUCUCCCCUCUUCUAUCACUUACUCUACUUUUAGCCAUAUAUGGCUUUUGGUUUCUUGAGCUCACUAAGCUUAUUCUGGUGCCAGAAACUUUGCCCUUUCCAUUCCCUGAGACUUAGAUGUUCUUCCCCAAGAUCUUUACAUGAUUGGUUCCUUCUCACCAUUUCAGUCUAAGACCAGAGGUCACCUCCUCCAAGAGGUCUCCCUUGGUCACCAAAUCUCACGUUGUCUCUCCCUGAUAACCUAACACUGACACUUUCUAGCACAUUACUUUGUCUUACUUUCUUUAUAUCACUUUAUCACUAUCUGAAAUUACCAUCUUUAUUUAUUUGUUUGUUUAUUUCCAGAAUGUUUUUCUCUCUCAACAGAAUGCCAGCCCUAUGAAAGAAGGAACCUUGUCUACUUUGCAUCUCUCAAUAUUGUUACCUCCUAAAAUUGUGCCUGGCAUGAAGUAGACACUCAAUAAAUAUUUGACAAAUGGAUAAAUUGGUUUGGAAGAACUGGGCUCUAUCAUACUUUUCAUAAGUAUGAAAAGCAUUUGACAAGAUAAUGAAAUCUUAAGGUAUUCUCACAUAAAUUUAAUAUCUCAGCCCUAAAUUUUGCAUAGCCAGGAAAUUCUGUAGCAUUAUAAAAUGGUUCAGAACACAGAGCAUGUUUUAAUCCUAGCUUUGCCACUUCCUUUCUGUGUGACCUUGGAUAAGUCAGCUGACGUAUUAAAACUGGUUUUCUUGUCUAAAAAUAUAAAGAUAAUAACAUACAAUAUUAGAGGGUUUUGUGAGGAUUAAAAGAGCUAAGUCUAUAGCACAGUUCCUGGAACAUUGUGUGCAGUCAAUAAAUGGUGGUUAUUAUUAUUACGGUUAUUGUUCUUACAGUAAUUAAUUCUGGCACCAUAUUUUACAAAGAACUUUGACAAAUUGGAGCCCAUCCAGAGGAGAACAAACAAUCUUGUGAAGGGUCUGGAAACCACAACUUGUAAGGAAUGAUGGAAAGAGCUGAGGAUGUUUACCUUGGAAGAGACACAUUUUAAGAGGAACAUGAUAGCUUUUUUAAAAACACUGAAAAGAACUGUCUGGUGGAAGACAGAUUUGAUUUAUUCAAUGUUACUCUGGAGUAUACAUUUAAAGCCAAAGAGUAAAAGUUAAAUCUUAAAUUCUUUAUGAUCUAAUAACCAAACUUUCCCAAACCAAAAUAGUAUUGAAUUCUACUUAUAAUAGUAAAAACUUUUAAGUCAUGUUUGCAUAAAUUUUUAUUAGGGAAAUUAUAUCGUAUAUGAAGCCACUUGCAAUUACCACUGUAUUCGUCCAUUUUCACACUGCUAAUACAGACAUACCCAAGCCUGGGCAAUUUACAAAGGAAAGAGGUUUAAUGGAGAACUCACAGUUCCACGUGGCUGAGAAAGCCUCACAAUCAUGGCAGAAGGUGAAAGGCAUGUCUCACAUGAUGGCAAGCAAGAGAAGAAGGCUUCUGCAGAAAAACUCCCCUUUUUAAAACCAUCAGAUCUCAUGAGACUUAUUCACUAUCACAAGAAUAGCACAGGAAAGACCUGCUCCCAGGAUUCAAUUACCCCCUACUGGGUUCCUCCCACAAGAUGAGAUUUGGGGUGGGGACAAAGCCAAACCAUAUCAACCAUAUUAAGACUUUGUAUCAAUAUGAAAAGUAUGUGUGGGAUGUCAAUUGCAAAAAAGCAGACUAUGAAAUAUGUGCAUAAGCAGACUAUGAAAUAUAGGCACUCUAUAGAGAGAAACAGAAACAAAGAGAGAGAGAAUAUAAACACAAACACAUGCAAAUAAAAUGUGUUACUUCAAGAGGUGAUGAGUUUCCUGUCCCUCCAAAGGUUAAAGCAGAGACCAGACAACCUCUUAGAAGAAACAGCAUGUGAGAAGUGAUAUUACAGACAAAGCAUUGGGCAGGGUGAACACUGAAACGAUUUCAAAGCUCCUUGGGUCUAUGAUCUGAUGAAUAUUGUUGAAUUGUGGGCACAAAACUGUGCUUUUUAAAAUAGUAAAGAUGACAUUAAGCCUCUCAAAUAUUUUCAUUUCCUCCCAAUUAAAACAGGCAAAAAAAAUCUAGUACCAAGAGACCCAAGUUCUGGGCUCCAUGAUCUACUAGGGCAUUGUGGCAUCAAGACCCACAAAGUGGACAUUUCUGGCCAUUAUUUCUCUUCUGCUCCAGCAAAAGCCUGUCAACCUCUCUGAACCUCAUUUUCUGGAUCCUUUCCCAAAAAGAAGGAAGUUGCAUGCUUUCUAUUUCUAAGAAUCUAUGCUUCAUCUUGAUUAUUUUCUUUCAUAAAUCUGAGCUUGGCCAGAAAUUAGAAGCCACCUGAACUUUGUAAAUAAGGAAUUUCCAAGAACACUAACAAGGGAAUAACUGUAGGAGAAUUUUGGUCCCCAAAUCAGGGAUGGUCCUUUUUCCACAUAAGUUUCAAAAAGUAAUAAAUAAUUCCUAUUAUAAUUAAAUGGGUGAAAAGUUUAGAACUCUAAGAGACAAGCAUCCAAAAGUAGGGUUUUCCUAGAAAGUCUCUUUAUAUUUUAUGUAAGAUGACAUUAAGUCAUCACCUGCAUUGCUUUCUUGGCUUUUGAUGAUAAAGGAGCUCUCCUCUGUUGUUGUUAAACUUCCAGGCAAGUUUUCGGGCUAUCUUCAUCCUAGAAGGGCCAAUAGACAGAAGAUUGCCAUUUUCAAGCAUUGAACACACAAUUGGAUCCUUCCUUGACGUCAACUUACCUCCCAUUUUAUAUCUCGGAUGAUUUCCAGUGGUGACAAAAACAUGUAUAUUUCCUUUCCCACUUAGGGAACUAUGAGGUGUGCUUUGACUAGCCAAUAGAGAUAUUACAAAAUAGCAAACCCAUAAAACUUCUAGAGACUUCACGAAUCCUGUAAGAACAGCCUCAUUCUCUUCGAAUCCUUGGUUAUAAUUCACAUAGAUUAUCUUGUGGGAAUAGAACAAAGUAAGCCUUGCUGUGCCAUGCUCUUCUUGUGAAGAGUUCUCUGACUCCUAUAUUUCAGAUGAAGGAAUCAUUGUAACAUGACAAUGGUCAGGGAGUGCCCUGCUCCCAUGCCCAGAAUUGACCUACCAUCCUCAAACCAAUAAGCUCAAGCCCAGAUGAUUACCACCUACAUGGAAGGAUAAAGUGCCUCCCUUCAGCAGAUUGAGUAGGCGGUGAGUCCUAUUCUGGAGAAAAAAGUAAAUAUAAAGGCUGGGACUAUCAAUCAGAGAAAGACCUCUCCUCGAGAAGACUGGUCCAGGUAGGUAAGAUGUGCUCACAAAUAAUUAAAACAAGGUAGAAGCUACAUGCUAAACUACAGGGAAUAGCUGGGGAUGAUCUAUCAAGAAUGUAUGGUGGAAGUGCACUGAAUUGGGUCUUGAAAAGCAGGUUGGGCAUAUAGAGAUACACAAUGGAAUGUUUAUAAGCAAAUACAUGGAGGUGAGAAUUAUGGGGCAUGUACAACAGAUGAUAAACAAUUUCUUUCACUACCGAGUGGGACACAUUUAGGGUAGAGGGUACAUGCAGGUAGACAGAAUUGGAGAAGUAGGUUGGAC
rnacentral:lncRNA from 1 species